rnacentral:rRNA from 1 species
GACGAACGCUGGCGGCGUGCCUAACACAUGCAAGUCGAGCGAGUGAGUUCUUCGGAACAAAGCUAGCGGCGGACGGGUGAGUAACACGUGGGCAACCUGCCUCAUAGAGGGGAAUAGCCUCCCGAAAGGGAGAUUAAUACCGCAUAAGAUUGCAGCUUCGCAUGAAGUAGCAAUUAAAGGAGCAAUCCGCUAUGAGAUGGGCCCGCGGCGCAUUAGCUAGUUGGUGAGGUAACGGCUCACCAAGGCGACGAUGCGUAGCCGACCUGAGAGGGUGAUCGGCCACAUUGGGACUGAGACACGGCCCAGACUCCUACGGGAGGCAGCGGUGGGGAAUAUUGCACAAUGGGGGAAACCCUGAUGCAGCAACGCCGCGUGAGUGAUGACGGCCUUCGGGUUGUAAAGCUCUGUCUUCAGGGACGAUAAUGACGGUACCUGAGGAGGAAGCCACGGCUAACUACGUGCCAGCAGCCGCAGUAAUAC